CCUACGGGUGGCAGCAGUGGGGAAUAUUGCACAAUGGGGGAAACCCUGAUGCAGCGACGCCGCGUGAGUGAAGAAGUAAUUCGUUAUGUAAAGCUCUAUCAGCAGGGAAGAAAAUGACGGUACCUGAGGAAGAAGCCCCGGCUAACUACGUGCCAGCAGCCGCGGUAAUACGUAGGGGGCAAGCGUUAUCCGGAUUUACUGGGUGUAAAGGGAGCGUAGACGGCAGUGCAAGUCUGGAGUGAAAGGCGGGGGCGCAACCCCCGGACUGCUCUGGAAACUGUACGGCUGGAGUGCAGGAGAGGUAAGUGGAAUUCCUAGUGUAGCGGUGAAAUGCGUAGAUAUUAGGAGGAACAUCAGUGGCGAAGGCAGCUUACUGGACUGUAACUGACGUUGAGGCUCGAAAGCGUGGGGAGCAAACAGGAUUAGAUACCCUUGUAGUC
rnacentral:rRNA from 1 species